UCCAGGGUAGCCUAGUGGACACGGCAUCUGCCCGGUAAGCGGAACACUGUGGGUUCGAUUCCCAUCCCUGGAC
rnacentral:tRNA from 1 species